ensembl:lncRNA
CAUCUUUUCACUUUGUAUAAAUUUCAGUAAUACUUUUAAGAACACCUAGAGACUCUACCUAUCCACCAUGCACAAAGUUGGCUGUAAGGUAGGACUGGCAAAGGUUCCCAAAUUGCCCAAUGGUUUCUUAAAGGUGAUUCUUGCAAGGCUCUUGGGGAAAGUUUACUGGUACCUAUGGAUAAUCACAAAGGUGCUUCACUUCAUGUGGAUGUUUCUGCUCCAUCAGAGAAGAUGCAUUAAACUACCUCCUUAUCUGACAGCACUUAAUCCAUGCACUGGGUCUGCCAGGUCUAAGAAGUUCUUCAUUCUUAUGGGAAUCUGCAUUAACAAAUAGCCACUGAAUACUCUCCUGGAGAUGUAAGCAACCUGUCAAGAUAGGAAGAAGUUAAUAAACAAAGUAUACAGCUGGAAAUCAAAUUCACAUCCCUAUAAUGGCUCUUGCACACUGAGAACCCCUCCUUUGAACAUUGCUUCCCUGAUGUGAUAGCGUUAAAUUUUGCCUACGGUGAGAUAACCUGGAGGAAAUUGUUCAGAAUUGUUUGGAGUUUGCUUGAUGCUGUUCUUCUUCUUUCUCUCAUAUUUUUUCAUCUUCUUUGUUUACUCUUUAGGAAAAAUUUGUGUGGCUGUGAAGAUGAUUGAAGCAUCAUUUUCUCAGUUUUUCCCCGGAUUUCUUCUUUGCACUCUAUGCCAUCCUUUCUUCCUGCGACUCUUCCUUUUGUGACAAAAAGCACUGCUAAUUGCAUAGAUUAGCUUCAAAUCCAGGAUCAAAGGUUUAACGCUUCGAUUUUCUGCUUCUUAGGCAUUUUAUUUUUUUUCUCUCAUAUGGGAAAUUUGCAAAACUGUUCACUACAGAAUUGAGUUGGUUUUCCUCUGAAAGUUGAGGGAAAAGGCUAAGCGUGGAAGGGGUAUGUUCUUACUUGACCUUAUCUGUUCUUUUGGCAGGUAUAUACUUUGCAUUAUGUCAUUAAAAGGCAAAGUGAUGGUUUUCGAGUAUUUUUGCAGAGCCAUGCUGCAGAGAGAGGAAAUGCUGCCACUGUGUCAUUUUUACUUUUCCUGAGAGUGAUAAAACAGAACCAACUCUUGGCAUAUAGACUGUUUAUACACUGUUUGCUGAGCUUGGUGAAAAGACGUUAUGUGUUCCUUGUCUAUCAAAAAUUUGUACAGGCAUGGAAAGUGGAUAGGCAGCAUUUUGAAAAGCUCCUUAGGGCUUUUUAGAAAGAUUUUUUAUACUUCAACUGGCAUGAGAGGCUUCCAUUUCAAACGUCAACAAAGGCUGGCAUUUGUGAGCCUGCCUUGCUGCUGAGGGCUGCAAGGAGUCAGAGUUCCCUGUGCAACUCUGAAUCAAGUUCAGCCUUGUGUUCUCAUCUGUAAUCAGAUAAAACAAACAAACAAGAAAGGAUGGGUGGGGAAAGCAUUAAUAUUUUAAACCUGGCUUUACCUGUCUGUUGCCUUUGAAAAUAAAAUUGUGUGUUUGAAUCAGUUUUGGCAGUCAAAUUUUGUGAAAUCUGUUGCAUGCAAUUUGAACAGCCACUAUACCUUCACAACACCCCAGGUGUAGAGAGUUACGCUGACAGUCAACCUAUGAAUUCAAAACUCUGUACAUAAAAGUAGGUAUUGCUAAUGCUGUGCUUAAAACUAUUCCACCAAAGAAAAGAACUUAAUAACAUGGGGGUGGUGAAGGUGAAGCUAUAUGAAAGCAUAGCUUUCCACAGCACAGUGUUGGAGUUAUUUUUCUUACGUACAACCACCACAGAGCUUUCCUUUCCCUUAGCAGCAGCCAAUCAAAAAAACGCAAAAGUGGCAGAUGACUAAAGCAUGCUUAAUGACAAACAACAUACAGUUUUCUCAGUGUCUGCAUUAGCUAAUGAAAAUAGAAGCUGAAAGAAUCAGGAGCAGAUCCAUUACAUGGUUUGCUUUUGUGUAAAUUGACUUUAUUUAUGUUUAAGCUUACAGAUAAACAGUUUGUGAUUCCAGAAAUUGCCUGUUAUAUACAGUCCGUUGAUGUGAUAUAUUUUGUUUCUUGAAGGCUUCUGAAGAUAAAAUAAUAAUAAUAAUAAUUACUCUUUCUAUAAUGACAACAUUUUAUCACCACAGAUAAUGAGAGUGCAGAAUUAUGGUUUACUCACCCACACACUGAAGAAAAUUGUGUCAUUCCUACAUCCAUUGCAAGGGAUAGAUUUAUUUUCUUUGUCCUUUCUUUUUUGUUCUUGCUUUUUGGAAACUUGAAUGUCCUCUUUCCCUGGUUUUCUCGCUUGCUCAUCUACAACCUCUAAUGCAAAUUUAUACUAAAUAUUGCUUGACCACACUCCCAAAUCACAAGAAUUAAUUCUUACCAUUAUUAUUUCUGCUGUCACAAAGAUUUAAAAACAUAAAUAGCUUUUUCUUUUUUUCUUCUUUUUUUUUUUUUAUUUUUGAGGCAAGAAGAAGAAAGGGUAUUGAACAAACACAUGACACUAAAGGAAUAAAAUAUGAACUGAACUUCCUCUAGAUUUCAAGCUAAUUAUUUUUCCCAGUUUGGUUACACACAACUGAGAAACAUUUAAAGGGAUGCAAAUUAGAAGAUCGUUAAUACGCAACCUAUGGUUUCAUCUGCCAGUCUUCAAGCAGAAGACCACGCUUCCCCCUCCAACACCAUUUUCAAGUUUUAUAGCUUAGUGUAACCAUUUUAAUUGUUCUUUUUCUGCAAGGCAUGAAGAUAAACCAUGCAUGAAUCAAUACAUGAAUGAAUCAGCCUCUGGUCUAGCUCACUGAUGUACUCAUCAUUUAUAUCCUUGCAUAAUUUACAGAAAUUGAAAGUGUAGUGAGGCUUUGCAUUCAGCUGAAUGUGGUUUGUUUACACAGUCCAAUAGAGUUUCACGUUCCAGAAAAGCUGAUUCUGCAGGGAUUGCUCAAGCAGGAUAAAAACAUCUAAAGCUUUGUGCUAAAAUAGAUGCAGUUAAGUGCCUAGGUGUCCCAUCACUUUUAGCCAAAUCUUAAUGAGAACACUGACAUCUUGGCUUUGUUGUGCAUGGUUUCACUUAAUUCAGAGGUAGCUGGGGCUCCCUGCACAAAAUUCAGUAGGCUGGAGUAUUAGCCUUUGGCUGAAAGAAAGACUAAGAUUCAUCUCAGUGAACUGCAGCUGCUUGAAAGUUAGGCAUCUAAACUAAUUUACUUGUCCAGGUUCCUGCAAUGACUGAGACACCUCCCCCACCUGGCUGUUCCUCUCAUAACCAGGAUUCACCUCCAGAGAUUACCACCUCUUGGAUGCCAUUCUCAAUUCUUCAUUUCCACUAACCUUAACAGGAUGUGAGACCACAAAAAGCAAGACACAUUAACUAUUCCCAGCACUUCUAGAAAAAUACCCUUACUAUCAGCAUGUUUCCUUCUGUUUUCUGUACCCACUUUGGCCAUACAUCACAGGAAUUAGGACUAAUGGGAAGAAAAUCCCUGCCAGGUUUCCUCAGAGCUCUUCUCCUUUGGCAAUGGUGUUUUUCCCCCAUUCUCUCCACUUUCACACAAACACACCCCACCAUUCCCCAGCCAACAAUGGAGACCGGGGGAUGAGGGGGGAGGGCAAACCCUGCAGACUGUCUGCCUCCACAGACUGUUAUUUUGGAUUUCAUUGACCUUUGAUAGGGCAACUCUUUUUCGGAUCGCUCUCUUGGUUGUAUUCUCCAGGGGAUAUGGCUUUUUACAUUACAAAUUUUGAAAGAUUCUAGGGAAGAAUUUCUGUCUCUCAAAAGCCCUAUAUCUGCUUGAAGUGUUUGGGUUUAUCAGUGACAAUUACAAAACAGAAGCAGUCUGUAUGUGAGGAAAGAUUUCUGUUUGUUGUUUGUAAGCUAUUUUCACUUUGGCUGUAGCUGUCAAGGGGGAUUUCACAGCCAUCCACAUUAUGUCUCACCCCUGUAGCUGAUAUCAGAGCAACCUUAGCUGCUUGAGUAGAAAAAAGAAUCAAGGAGACACAUUAUCUUUUAAAGAAAAGGAACAAAAAAUACUUUUGCAGAACCAACCUAGAGCUCUGCAUCAAAUACCAUCUGUGUUUAAAAAGAAACACAGGGUUGUGAUGUUAAUGAAUUAUUGUUAUUUCCUAGAGGCACAGAUGAAGUGUUUGGUUUUGUGCAAAUCAGAAGUCUCAAACCAGCCCUGUCCCAUUAGCACGGCACAUCAAACACCACAAGCUGAUUUUUGGUUUUUUGGUUCAGCUGAAGGCUGAGGAUUUACACCACUAACAACAGCCACGCAUAUGGUCACAUACAGUCAGGAAAUGAACAACUCUGCAUGAACCGAAGAGAGCGAGGGUGCAAUAAAAACAUAUCCUGCAAAGGGAUCUGUGACGGGAAAUGGGAGGAGAGCUCAGCUUGCAAGAGAAGAACAAAGCCUGUCUCUCUCCAGACUCCACUCUUCAGCAACAUACCACUCAGGAAAGGCCCUGAAAUCCAAAACAUCACUGAGGAGAUGUUUCAGUCUGUGUGAAGGUCAACACCCAGGGUACUGAGAGGGCACCAAGAGGUGCAUCGUGACAAAGAGGCCUGUCCCCCUGCAGAGCCUGGGCCUGGGCUUCAGAAGAUGCUGAUGAAGGCACUGGGUUUGUCCCAUCAUCCAAACACUUACAGAGAAAAUGAGAGCAAAGUUAAACUCACAUCUUCAGAGCAGUGCUGACAGAUCUUUGAACACAUGCAGACAGGAGAGUUGAUUGGGUCACUCGGGCUAAUGGUGCUACUUGUGGAGAUGAUUCAAAGUGCUCCAAGUCAGUAAUCACCUAAUUGGCCUCGGUGGACUUCAGAUCUCUGUUUCCCAUAACAAAGGUUAGAAUCUGCUCAAACUUAUCUGCGAAUUUCAAGUUUGUCCCUAAGUUAUAGUAAAGCAUGUGAUAUAGUCUGUACUUUCUUGUAAUUAUUGUCGUUUCUUGCUGUUGACAGAUGAGGUGGUAUAUUGCUCCUCAGACAUGGAUGAGAUGCAUACUUCCAUCUGAGAAAUCAAGUCAGAACAGAAUAAGAUGCUUGAAGACUCCUGACAGGAAAAGACAAAAGAAGAUUAGAAACCUUGCAUGCAGCAGCAAAAACAGACUGUGAAUAUUGAAAGCAGGUAUUUAUUGUAACUAUUUAAGAGGAAAUCCUUGAAAUAACUUUCAAGAGGUUCAGCCUUACAACUGAAUCAAAGGCUCACUCUAUUUCCAUUUUCUUUAGGAUCCUGGAUUUUAAAUACAAGCUCAAUUUUCAGGUUUGGAUUUAACCUCUGCAUGUGAGCACAUCUGCCAGAUGAUCCAACCCACUGAUGCUACCUGCCCUCCUAAGCUGAUCUCCCUGGCUGAAGGGUCAGGAGGAGUACUGCCAACCUGGACAGGGUUUCUCAUCUUGAAGCAGAAGAUAGGAAGAGUACAUUCAAGUUAUGAAAUGCAGCAUCAGGGAGAAGAACAGUGCUGGGCCAAAAACCUUGCUUUGCCCCACCACUCAGCAUCGUGCUGCAGCAGGGAGAGGGCAGCAGUCCCUCUGGUACCCCUAUUCUCCAUGCAAAGAGCAGCAGACGGCGGUGAUCAGAUCCAGCCUUGCUGACCUUGCACCAACAUGGAUAUGGAGCAGCCACAUGGUGAGAGCACUGGAAAAGAAGCUUAAAAUCUGCUCCAACUGUUUCCCAGCAGGUGUUUACUUCCUCCCAGCUGACAAGCGUGACUUGCUGUACAAACACACACACCCCUUUGCGGACAAAGUCAAACAAGCAAACCUUUGGCAGCAAUUUAAGUUUGUGUGACAUUGCUCUUAGAUACUUUAAGAGCAAUUAUAUGGCAGGUAACUGCCUCUCCUCUGGGAGGUGGCAACAAAGGGCUGGGAGUUCAAAGACAUGCCAGAGUCAUUUAUUCAGUUAUGAUAAUAACCAGGGAGUAAAUUACAACAGACUGUGAAACAGAAUUGCUAUUAGAUUUAACAACAGAUGGGUAAUUGUUCCCAAAUCCUGACAAUACUGAAAUGUGCACCUUAAUGAUUUCAACCCCAUGUGAAGUGACUGGGCUCCGGCUUGGAGCCUCCAGUGUAGAUUUAGAUAUAAGUGCAGAAACCAGGGACAUCCCUGAGCAAUAGCACCAGUGGGUAGGAACAUUGCCCCUCUGCCUUUCUGGUCCUGUCCUGUGGGGGACCCACAGCUCUUUUGGCCUUGUGAGAGCUGAGUCCCACCUACAGCAUCACAAGGAAGACAGUUUGAUCUAGAUGUAAAAAAGGGAUUGCUGAACCUAAAAGCAGGAAAGAAAUAGAAAAAGAGAGGAAGAAAAUGCUGUCCAGGAGGAGUAAUAACAGCAUGUGCCAGAGGGAACAAGUUCCCUGCCUGGCAACGUCCCUUCCUGUGGUCCAGGAUGAAAAAAAAGGACUGCUCUGUGCUGAAAUGGAUGGAUGGCUGUAUAGGGUGAGGAGCUGCACCUGGAUGCGACAUAAAACCAAGGCCCUUAUUAUGGUGUCCACUCAUCAAAGCUCUUAUCAUUUUUACUUUCAAAGAACAGAACGUGACACCUUGUUUCCUGUUUUAAACCAGGUCAUUAACUAAUUUUUCCCUUUCAGUGUAAAUACUAUUUUCCUUUGUGGUGGCAUUCUUUGCUGUUGGGUGCCAUGACAGUGCUACACUGCUGUCUUCCCUGACAGAAGUCACAGUAAGGGAAAAUAAUUUUAGCCAAAACAUUUUUGUCAGUGAUAUUCUGGCUGAAAAUCCCUCUACACCUAUGUCUCAGCUGCAGAUUUGCCCUAAGACUUCCUGUAAUCUUUCUGGUGAAGCUCCACUACACACAAAUCAAAUCAAGAGAAGCUCUCAUCAGUGUGAAAUACAACAGAGAGCAUUUCCCAGGCUAUAUGUCCUGAUUAAGUGCAUUUUGUUCCCAAAUUUACAGCAUGAUUUAGAUUUUCAUGUGUUGUUCUGUUGCAAAAAAUAGUCCUUACUCAAGACCAGUCUGCAUUAUGCUUUCAAAACUAUCACAGUGCUGGAGGGAACCUGCAGUACCAAUACCAGAGAUAAUUCCAUCACAGAUCAUUCCCCUUUGUUGGAGAAAGCUUUUGUUUUGGCCACCUAUAGAGCCACUAUCCAGCUCUCUGUGUGAAUGUACAGGAAAGCACAUGUAUGUACUGAGUUGAGAACAACCAGUUUCACUUCACGGCAGAUGUUAGCAGCCUGGUGCUCCUAGCUGAAUACCUGAUACAUUAUUCCGUGUUUAUUAACCACCAAUUUAUAGGCCAGAUUUUUAGACAGUGUACAUCUGGACUUCUCUGCUGAGGUUGCUCCUUUGUAUUACGCAAGCUGCAGUCUGUAGCAUAUCUCACAUUACAUAACAUUUUCAUAUUUAUAACUAAAGUAUUUUAGAAGCAUUCUUUAAUAUUUUGACUGGAAAGCAGAGCACUGUCUUCUUUUGAAAUGCGUGUUAGAAUGACAGGGACAGAGGACAGAUAGUAAGCAAAGAUAUACAGCGGGGUUUUAUUUUCUUGCAUCCAUGCAUAACUGAUCCAAACAUUUUAGAGUAUAGAAUGUAACGUGCUGCUUAGCACUGACAAAAGCACCAGGUGUUACCUGAUGACAAGAAACUGGUUCAGAGUUGCAGAAACAAGACAUUUCAAGUGUCCUUAGGCUUUCCUCUGUGAAAUCAAACACUUCUCAUAGAAUACCGAGGUUACCAAACUCACAGAGCAUCUCAUUGAAGCAUAUGUUUUUGAACCAAAAGGCCACAGUGCUCAGUCUGAGGUCAGCAAUAGCUGUAACACCCAGCACACCCCAUACAAGAAUGAGCCAGUCACCUUAUAUGAGUCAGUCGUGAGAGACCUUGCUUGUCACUUUAGAUAAUUUUCACAAACAGACCAGUCAAGACCUGUGGAUCCAAUUGUUGGUAUCACUUAGUUGAGCAGAGUUUGCAAACCAGGACUUGAUGGGCCAGAUUGGCCAGCUCCUUAUGUCUCCCAUGUGCUGACGAGACUCCACCAACACUGCUGGUUGUACAUGGAGGUAUUUGGAGGGGCUGCCAGGCUCCCUGCAUCCCAUCAGAUUCCCACCAAAAGGCAUUCAAAGGGAAUUUUAAGCAUCAGGGUUAACCGUGCUCCAAGCAAAAGCAAAGGAAGAAAAAAUAACAUAGCUGUUAAUUGUUUUGAUUUUAAAAUGCAUCUCAUUAUAUGCAAAUUUAGUUGUGUUUCUUUUUUUUUUUUCCAGAGUAGUCAACUUUUGAAUAAAUCACACUGCUCCUGCCACUCACAGUGCUGUCAAGUUACUUGUCAAAAUCAACGUGGUCAGAAAGGUCACCAAAUGUAAGAGGAUUUUUUUUUUCAUGGAAAAGAUUUCCUCUUCUUCUGUUUGGCACCACCAAGCACGACCUGUGUCCAUCACUUGCCAUGAGCAUCACCCUGCUGUGCUAUCUCCCAUAUCAUCAGAGCUUGCCACACUUCUAGAGGAAGCUGAGCUCAUGUUUCUUUUUCAGGUAUGCUCUGACAAGCCAUGCAGCUUUGUACCUAGCUGGUACGUGUGUAGGUACUGAAUGCCAUCCAGCACUGUACGCCAAUUAAGUAAAUGCACUUUGAGAACAGAUGUGACAUUUAAAAAGUCCCUGCAAAACCUCUUUCAGCAAAACAUCAAGCAAAACAUUAGCAGCACUCUGAAGAAUUUCUGAGAAAAUGUGAGAUGAUUUUACUUCUGCAACAACAGCAACAAAAAUAAACGCAAGGCAGGAAGAGGAAAACACACUUGUUAAAUAACAGCCAAAUCAGCCGGUGUGAAAAUCUGAUGAGAAGUUAUUGACUGCAAAAGAGUACGUGUGCAUAUACCACAUCACUGCCACAGAGACACAGGAUGUUGUUAGUACAAUGAGAACCUUUGCUCAGCUGUCAUUAAACCGCAGGCUGUACUCACUCUUGGUCUGUUUGACUAAUUCUCAGAUACAUUUCACAGUAUCAGCUGUUCUGCUGGAUAAGUUACGCCAACUGCUCUCCCUCUGACAGGAUGAACUGAGUUGCUUCUUGUUGAUACUGAAGAAACAAGGCUGCACGUGCUAUCUGCUCCUCCCCACGCUCUCAAAAACAAAACACCAUGGUGGUGCAUAGAGAACCUGGACACCACACCAGUAAAUGCUUACAUAUGUCCUGAAUGUCACUCCAGAUCCUCCCACUUUGACCUAUUGCAGGGUUUAAUCCCACCUGCUAUUAAAUAAACAGCAGGAUUCCCAUUGAAAAGAAGCUAAGUUCUCUUGUCCUUGCAGGAACAGGAGUAUGCCCAGAGAAGUACAUGUUUUUUUUCUCUCAAAAUGCUGCAUUAAACAAACCCCAUGUUCCAAAUAGCAAUAAUAAUCAACUACAUAACCCUCCCAUAAGGUAGAUGAAGUGGUGUAGGCAGGGGUCAAUGCAGUUCAUGCAGCUCUAACUUGGGCUGUGCAGAGUUUUCCCAUUGCUGGGCUUGGAGAACAAACGUGAAUGUUAUUUAUCUGUCAUUUUAAUUACUGCCAUAGCACUGGCACAGUGAAGAAAAGCACUGUGAAGCAGAAACUGGUAGCUGUAUUUCCUGCAGUACUCCUGUCUUCAAAGGACAAAGAAGUAAAACACAAGAUACGUUUCCGGCUCUUCCACAAGCAUCUCCCAAGUUCCAUAGGAAAAAAGGCUCUUUGCCAAGAGUUACAAAAGUCUUUUUUAUGACCACAUGUAUAUUCACACAUGUACUCUGAAAUUACUGAGAAGUCAGACACGAGGAAAAGUGAUUUUUUUUUCAAAAUUAGUAGCCAGAAUUAGAAAUGGGCAAUAGAUGUCCUUACUCAGAGCCUUCCUUUGAACAUCAGGACACAGUUCAAGCAAGAAACACUGGUAAAUUUAGCAAGAUUUCCCAGACACAUUACUGAGCUUUGAGGAGAUGUGUUCUUUGUGAACUCUCAGCAGUUCCCUUGUCUGGUAGGCAUCUGCAACAUGCUGAAAUGCCCUAGUGCUGCUCUGUUCUCACCUAAGCAAUGUAGCUGACCUUUCCAUAUCAGUUCUUGUGUGUAGCAUGAUAGCUUUAACCGGGCAAGACAAAGAAAAGCCAACAUAACGUGGCUGCAGUCACGUUAUCUGUCUGAGAGACUUUCUUUACUGCCUCCUUAGCUGAACAGUGAAUGAAUGGCACUUUUGCAGAUUUAACCUUUCCUUUAUGUCCUUUCUCUGAGUCACGAGGAUUUCAUUCUCUGUUCUGUAGCUCACCUGCAAAAAGUACCAUUUCCUUCUUCUGCCACAAAACAUGCGCUCACAGUGUAGAGACAGAAGAAACACUGCUAUCAUUUCCCCUUGGCCGAUGUGAGGAGAUCAUGCAGCUAAAGGCAGCAGUGUCUGUGCCGUGUUUACAUUCCCGCUGAGCAGGUACAGACAGGGCACAGACCCAGAUGUGUCAACUGGGGCACUGCUGUGCACACACAAAAAAAUCAUCAAGAAAUUGAAGUUCUGCCAAAGGGAAACUCAGGGGUCUUUUUGCAGCAUCCAGGGCAGGGAUUAAUGCUGGCAAUUGUGCGCGGCUUUUAAUUUCCUAGGGGUGACAUUUCUGAUGCCAUAAAGGCAUAAUUCUGUGGUUCAUUUUGUUUCUACUUACCCAGCAUACCUCUCAUAAAGAAGAGCAAUAGAUUAUUAUCUGACUUGUUCUUGCUGUUUUACAGACAGCAUUUUGCGAGGGUUGCCUUGUCCAUUCUGAGGAUGCUUUCAAAACACUACUCAAAAAGGGCUUUUUUUUCCCCCCAGUUUUAAAAGAUGAACUCCUCUUUCUAUGUUAUUUCUAUGAAUGUCCAACAUGAUUCAAAUUUUUCACAUGCAAUUCCUGAAUAUGAGUGCCUCCUCUAUUGCAUAUCUGACAACAACACAAUUGUGUUUGGAGAGUGAGUGCAAGGGCAUGCACAAAGUCUGGCCUCUGGAACAUCGCUCACACUGGAAGUAAUCAGAACUGUGAUAUCCAAAAUAAUAACACAUUUUUUAAAAUAGCAGCAACAAUCCCCUUUCUAGGGAUGCUUUAUGAUGCUGACUACUUAAAUAGUCCCACCAAGGGGGCUGCGCAUGCAACAGGUUUCCGAAGAGCUCUGAUUCUGUCCCACCCGAUCACAGAGUGAGGGGGAAUCUUUCUAUAAGGAAAUUUUCAUAUUCAUAAAAAAAAGAUACGUCUACAGCUUAAUUUGUGGGCCGAUAUGAAAGGCACUGGCAAAGAGUUCCUCAAAAUUUAGAUUUUUGUUAGAAAUCGUUUGUUAGCUAUGAAUCCUUUCCCUUUCCUUGCACCACAAAUAGCUGAGUCAGCAAACGAGAUGUUUCUUUGUAUCAUGAGGACAACAUAUUUGCCCCCAUAUAAGUUUCCUUUGGCCUUUUUUUGAUUGUUUGUUUGUUUUGUUUGUUUGUUUGUAGACACAGCUCAUGAAAAUCAAGGUAGUCCAAAACUGCUACAUUUUACGUGUAGGCACAAGGACUUGGAUAAGACAGCCAUUAUCAUCCUUUCAGCAAGGCCAGUGGUAUAGCUGAGCAGAAUCUUGCCCUAUAUCAGUACAGUGAGCACCAAGGGUGCAAAGCUGGAGAAGUGAUCUGAGCCAAGGAGAUAGCUUCCACCCGAGGUCCCUGUCCAUAGCUCCUCAUCUCUUCCCCGGACACAUACACCUGAUCUUCCUGCCCACAAGCAUGCACUGUGCUGCAGGAGCUAACAGGAAGAUGUGUUUGGGAUGGCUCUGCUGAGGGACAGAGGCUUUCCUGUCACCAGCAGCACAGAGGGAGGGACAGGUCACCUCCAAGGAACAUACUGCAUGUGAAAGGAAUAUGACUUUUGCAGCUUGAACAGGGGAGAGGCAGGGAGGAUCCAAUCCAGCCAGCAGAGAGGAAAAGAAAACACAGUGAUAGUGAGACAAGAUAUCUUGGGAAACUGCAAACAUCUUACCUAAUGAGCUCUGAGGGUCACAGCACCACCAGUCUGGUCCACUGCCCAAGAUGCUUCUUCCAGUUGCUCUGUGUCACAUGGCCUCG